rnacentral:tRNA from 6 species
GUUUAAUUAGUUUAAUUAUAAAAUUAUAAAUUGUGGAUUUAUAGAUGAAAUUCAUUAAACA